AAAGAGAGAAAGAAAAAGAGAGAAAGAGAAGUAUUCAAGAAUUGAUUAUUUCUCUUCCCUCUCUUAUUCCUUUUCAUAACUUAUCGACUCCUCUCUCUAAUA
rnacentral:ribozyme from 1 species